rnacentral:rRNA from 1 species
ACAGUGGACGCGAGCAUCUUUGUUGUAAGUGUGUAAGAGCGUACGGUGGAUGCCUUGGCACCAGGAGCCGAUGAAGGACGUAGGAGGCUGCGAUAAGCCUCGGGGAGCUGUCAACCGAGCUGAGAUCCGAGGAUGUCCGAAUGGGGAAACCCAGCACGAGUGAUGUCGUGUUACCCGCAUCUGAAUAUAUAGGGUGUGUGGAGGGAACGUGGGGAAGUGAAACAUCUCAGUACCCACAGGAAGAGAAAACAACAGUGAUUCCGUGAGUAGUGGCGAGCGAAAGCGGAUGAGGCUAAACCGUGUACAUGUGAUACCCGGCAGGGGUUGUGUAUGCGGGGUUGUGGGGUCAUCUUUGUCAGUUCUGCCGGACUGGCCGACAGUAAGAAAUC